rnacentral:rRNA from 1 species
UACGUAGGGGGCUAGCGUUGUCCGGAAUCAUUGGGCGUAAAGCGCGUGUAGGCGGCCCGGUAAGUCCGCUGUGAAAGUCGGGGGCUCAACCCUCGGAUGCCGGUGGAUACUGCAGGGCUAGAGUCCAGAAGAGGCGAGUGGAAUUCCUGGUGUAGCGGUGAAAUGCGCAGAUAUCAGGAGGAACACCGAUGGCGAAGGCAGCUCGCUGGGACGGUACUGACGCUGAGACGCGAAAGCGUGGGGAGCGAACAGG